rnacentral:rRNA from 1 species
UUAGAGUUUGAUCCUGGCUCAGGGCGAACGCUGGCGGCGUGCCUUAGACAUGCAAGUCGAGCGGUAGGCGUCCUUCGGGGCGCCGAGAGCGGCGAACGGCGGAGUAACACGUGGGUAACCUGCCCCGAAGACUGGGACAACCCGGGGAAACUCGGGCUAAUACCGGAUGUGGAUGCUUUGGCUUCGGCUGAAGCAUCUAAAGGUGCAAGCCGCUUCGGGAUGGGCCCGCGGCCUAUCAGGUUGUUGGUGAGGUAACGGCUCACCAAGCCGACGACGGGUAGCCGGUCUGAGAGGAUGAUCGGCCCGAGGGGCACUGAGACACGGGCCCCACUCCUACGGGAGGCAGCAGUCGGGAAUUUUGGGCAAUGGGCGCAAGCCUGACCCAGCGACGCCGCGUGGAGGACGAAGCCCUUCGGGGUGUAAACUCCUUUUAGUGGGGACGAACGCAGACGGUACCCACAGAAAAAGCCCCGGCUAACUACGUGCCAGCAGCCGCGGUAAUACGUAGGGGGCGAGCGUUGCCCGAAUUUACUGGGCGUAAAGCGCACGUAGGCGGCUUCGUAAGUCUGGUGUGAAAUCUCACGGCUCAACCGAGAGGCUGCACCAGAUACUGCGAAGCUCGAGGACGGAGAGGAGAUUGGAAUUCCCGGUGUAGCGGUGAAAUGCAUUGAUAUCGGGAGGAACACCAGUGGCGAAGGCGGAUCUCUGGCCGUUGC